AUUGAACGCUGGCGGCAUGCCUUACACAUGCAAGUCGAACGGCAGCACGGGAGCAAUCCUGGUGGCGAGUGGCGAACGGGUGAGUAAUGUAUCGGAACGUGCCCAGUCGUGGGGGAUAACGUAGCGAAAGCUACGCUAAUACCGCAUACGAUCUAUGGAUGAAAGCGGGGGAUCGCAAGACCUCGCGCGAUUGGAGCGGCCGAUAUCAGAUUAGGUAGUUGGUGGGGUAAAGGCUCACCAAGCCGACGAUCUGUAGCUGGUCUGAGAGGACGACCAGCCACAUUGGGACUGAGACACGGCCCAGACUUCUACGGGAGGCAGCAGUGGGGAAUUUUGGACAAUGGGCGCAAGCCUGAUCCAGCAAUGCCGCGUGCAGGAUGAAGGCCUUCGGGUUGUAAACUGCUUUUGUACGGAACGAAACGGCGAGCUCUAAUACAGUUUGCUAAUGGCGGUACCGUAAGAAUAAGCACCGGCUAACUACGUGCCAGCAGCCGCCGUAA
rnacentral:rRNA from 1 species